rnacentral:piRNA from 1 species
UUAAAUUUUUUUCAAGUUUAA